UACAGAGGGUGCGAGCGUUGUCCGGAAUCACUGGGCGUAAAGGGCGCGUAGGUGGCGCGGGAAGUCAACGGUGAAAGUUCGGGGCUCAACCCUGAAUCGGCCGUCGAUACUCCCGGGCUCGAGCACUGUAGAGGCAGAUGGAAUUCCGGGUGUAGCGGUGGAAUGCGUAGAGAUCCGGAAGAACACCGGUGGCGAAGGCGGCCCGCUGGGCAGAGACUGACGCUGAGCCGCGACAGCGUGGGGAGCAAACAGG
rnacentral:rRNA from 1 species